rnacentral:lncRNA from 1 species
AAAGUAUUUAAAUAAAAAAAAAAUUGAGAGAAAAUAUUUUUUUUAUGGAAAAUUUUUUUUUCAAUUUUUCGCCUAUUACCGACCGUCCCUAAAACAAGUGUGAAAGAACUUGGUGGUUGGUAUCCGAGACCCAAGUUCGAAUUCUAGUUGAUUUACAUUUCUAGCUAAGUUUAUUUCUAAAUGAAAUAAACGAAGCGGGUAGCGAGCUACCUAUCUCACCCAAAAAAAAAAAAAAAAAACUUUCCGCCUAUUU